rnacentral:rRNA from 1 species
UACGAAGGGGGCUAGCGUUGUUCGGAAUUACUGGGCGUAAAGCGCACGUAGGCGGAUAUUUAAGUCAGGGGUGAAAUCCCAGAGCUCAACUCUGGAACUGCCUUUGAUACUGGGUAUCUUGAGUAUGGAAGAGGUAAGUGGAAUUGCGAGUGUAGAGGUGAAAUUCGUAGAUAUUCGCAGGAACACCCAGUGGCGAAGGCGGCUUACUGGUCCAUAAC